rnacentral:rRNA from 1 species
AUUGAACGCUGGCGGCAUGCCUAACACAUGCAAGUCGAACGGCAGCGCGAGUAGGGGUAACCUUACUUGGCGGCGAGUGGCGGACGGGUGAGUAAUAUGUAGGAAUCUACCUAGAGGUGGGGGAUAACUUGGGGAAACUCAAGCUAAUACCACAUAAGCCCUAAGGGGGAAAGCAGGGGACCGCAAGGCCUUGCGCCUUAUGAUGAGCCUACAUCGGAUUAGCUAGUUGGUGGGGUAAAGGCCUACCAAGGCGACGAUCCGUAGCUGGUCUGAGAGGAUGAUCAGCCACACUGGGACUGAGACACGGCCCAGACUCCUACGGGAGGCAGCAGUGGGGAAUAUUGGACAAUGGGGGAAACCCUGAUCCAGCAAUGCCGCGUGUGUGAAGAAGGCCUUCGGGUUGUAAAGCACUUUCAGUGGGGAGGAAGGACACAAUGCUAAUACCAUUGUGUAUUGACGUUACCCACAGAAGAAGCACCGGCUAACUCUGUGCCAGCAGCCGCCGUAAAAC